UACAGGACAUAGCUAUUAGAAAAUUGCGUAUGGUAAAAACGCAGCAGAAAAAAAAAAUCAAACAAAUUUAAUUUUGAAAACUCUCGAGAUCCAAUCUCAAAAACCACGCAAUUAGGAUCCCUCAUGUUCUUUAAGAUUAAAGGAGGAAAGUAAGAUCGAUUUUUUACCCUUUUCGCGAAUAAAUCUUCACCUCAACUUGAUGAUCGUGGAAUUGGGUUCUCUUGAAGCUGCAUACGCGUCCGGUCUCUAUAGAUAUCCACACGAGGUUCUUGAUUUGAUCGAUAUCCUCACUGGGGUGCUAACUCUCUUACAAAAGGACGUCUUUCUUUCUAGAAUAUGGAAGAGAGAGGAGAGGAGAAAUGACGGUUAGGAUUUUCUAAAAACUCCCAUAUUAUUAUAUAGAAAAAUAUAAUCCUCUUAUUAAUAAUACAAUAACCAUUAAGCAUAAGUACAAAUCUAGAUUUAAAUAUAUCAUUUUCUUAAUUGGUUAAAUCGAUCAAAUCCUAAUUUGAUUCGACUUGAAUUUUAUAUUAAUUUAAUGAUCAUAUUUAAUUAAUAACGCAAUAUUUGCACAUAAGUACUCCUAUAAUUUACUAACUAUUAGUAAGUCCUCUUAGUAACAUUUACACCUUAAUACCACUAAUUUGUAAUAAUUACAAAUUAGUCCAAUUAUCAAUAUAUUGACAAUUAGGUCCAUCGACGAUUCAAUUAUUAUGAUCUAGCUAUCCGAUCAAUCACAACCUCUUAUGUGUGUGACCCCAUAGGUUCUAUUCUAUUUGGUAGUGAGAUAUAUUUUGAUCACUAUCAACAUAUCACUGAAACUCCUUUCAGUGGAUUGGAACAAUUCUAACUCAGCCCAAUGAGAAUUAUUGAUCAUCUAGAUAAUUCUCAUGAGUCUCACAACUCACCAAUGACGCCUAACAACAUGUAGUGACAUUCCAGUAAAAUGGAAUAUUGAACCUCUUAGUGCAGUUAUCGUGUGAUACAAUCUUUCUAUCAUGAGUCCUGACUAGAUGGAGGUUAUAGAAUAACUCGUCAAACCCCAUCGUCUGUCAUAUGUUAAAUUUAUUCGACUCGAGUCUCUAAUAUCGGAAAUCCUUUUCUGCUAUUAACUUUGCUCUGGCCAAGGUCUUCUAAACUCGGUCUCAUAAAUCACAUAGGACUAACACCCCUAUCUACCAAGAGAGAUAGAUUUUAUCAAGUGCGCACCCUAUUUCUACAAUAAACCUACUGCAGCCAACAUGCACCGCAAGGACCAGAAUGGUUAGGGACCAAGUGUAUGUACAGUCAAACUACAGUAACCUCAUUGUGAAUAGCCGAUCGAGGCACCGUAGGUCAAAGGACCAGUCACACUACUGCAACAUUGAGUAAGUCACCGACGAGUGAGUAGACAUCCAAGUGACUUCUCGCGUUGGUCACGCUCGGUACCCUUAUUUUUUAACAACCACCUACAUAUUCGCUUCAGUGUCCCCACACUGUCGACUCGAGACUCGUCUACCCAAAAAGGGAAGCGACCUAUGCACCAAUCUCAUCGGAUCAAUCAUCGUCCCCGUGAUGAUCUAUUGAUCGGGAGCAUUUAGGAAUUAACCAUCAAUAACACAUGUCUCAAAUUCUCAACUCUUGAGAAUAUAUGUCAUCAUCUUAUUAACUCCUUAGACGAUUCAUGCACACAUACACAAUAUGAAUAGAAUUAAGGACCCAAAUUUAUUCAUAAUUUUUAAAAUCAACUACAAAUUUGUCCUAACAAAAAUACAUGUGUCGUCCUUGUUGGCUUCUAGGGCAUACGUCUAACAAUAGCUAGAUUUA
rnacentral:lncRNA from 1 species